rnacentral:lncRNA from 1 species
UUGCUUUUGUUUAAAGGUAAAACUAGGUUCAAUUUAUCAAUUCCGAUGAACUUUAAGAAAGGAAGCAAAAAUUUCAGCAAAACAAAAAUUAAAAUCGAAUUGAAGUAAUACUAAGAUGAUGAAAAACCUUCAAUAUAUGAGAUAAUAACAACCAACUGAAAAUACAUAUAAUAGUUCCAAAAGGUAAAUUCGGCUUUAUCGGAUUUAAAGCUUUAGGUUUGGUUGUUUGGCAAAUAUGGUUGGUAAUGGUGGAAGGUUAGAUUAAAAGGGGAUAAUAUGAUGUCAGGAGAUGAGAGAUACAAAAAGUGCACCGUUCACACGAUCGUGGGGGAUCCACGAUCGACAAGGAGGGCGGUACACCACGGCUAGAAUUUCGGCAACGGGGAAAAAGAAGAUGAGAUAGUGACUCGGAAGAAGAGGAGGGAUAGAAGUAGAAGCCGAUCUUGUCACGAGGAAGAAGCGACAACGAUCAAGUUGAGGAAGAAGACGAUCUCGGCGCGAGGAAGAAGAGUCGAUGAUCUCACCGGGAAGUGGAACACCAAGGAUAUAGAUUGAGAGUAGAAUUUUCUAUUCAUCCAAAUAUAUCCCUUAAGGUUUCAAGAACCAUGUAUUUAUAGUGUUGAAAGCUCUCUGAUAAUAAAUUAUUGUCUUUUCGUUUUCAACACAACACGGUCACCCAAGAGUCAUGCAUAGAAAACGAAGCAACUUUGGGAAUUUCAAAGGUCUUUCUUUUAUUUUUUUGGGGAAUUCCAAAGGUCUUUUUGGGAUUGAUUUUUUGUUUAUGGGAUAAAAGGGUUUGGGUUAGCCAAAUCAACUAAAACCAAAUGAUUUAAGUCCGAAUCAAACACGAACCUACAAAAUAAAAGAAAAUUGCAUUUGAAAAUAAAACGAGAUUUAUUUGCUGCAUCAGUUCCCCUCGAGUUGGGGAAAUCUCGACUUCGUCGAGAUGGCAUCCUGAUAUCUCUGGUACAAGUCCUCUUGAAGUUGGCGCAACUCCGCCUCAGAAAUCCAACUGCUAUCGGACAAUGGUCGUCCACGCCAACGCACCAACUAUCGGCGAUAAGUACCACGUCGGCACAUCCAGAAUAUCCUCCACGCCAUCUGAUGGAGUUUCAAUGUCGGAGCGAGAUGUCAAGCCAUCAAUAUCGACAGUAGAGGGGGCCUUUCCAUGGUACUCGUAUAGCUCGCUGACAUUGAAGAUCGGAGACGUCGAUACUUCUGGAGGUAGAUCAAUUAGAUAAGCAUUUUCCCCUAAUUUCUUCAGAAUUUUGAAUGGCCCGUACUUUUUCCUCUUCAACUUGCUAUAGCCUCCAGCUGAGAACCUUUCUUUUCUAAAUAGAUUAAGACAUUAUCUCCAUUAAAAGUCAUACCUCAGCGAUGUUUAUCAGCUGACUCCUUGUACUUGACAGUAGAAUCCCGCAACCUCUGAUGAACUUGUUGUUGCACCUCUUGAAUUUGUUUUAGGUAAUAGUUGGCAUCUGCACUAACUCUACCAGGGUAAGGUAUUGGUGCUCGGUCAAGAAAGUGGGCUAUAGGACAGCCAUAUAAAGCUUCAAAAGGAGAUUUUCCAAUGGUUCGGUUUAUGGAACUGUUAUAAGCAAAUUCAGCUUGAGGUAAAUUAAAUCCCAUUGUGUUGGUUUUUCUCCAACUAAACAUCUUAAGAGAUUACCCAAAGAUCGAUUUACUAUUUCCGUCUGCUCGUCAGUUUGUGGAUGGUAUGGGCUACUGAAAUUCAGUUUGCUUCCUGCCUUCGACAUUAAAGUUCUCCAAAAAUGACUAACAAAUUUUGUAUCUCGAUCAGAGGUAAUUGAUUUAGGAAUGCCAUGUAAACGUACAAUUUCAUUGAAAAAUAAUUUUGCAAUAUGUGAUGCAUCAGAAGUUUUCUUGCAAGGAAUAAAAUGAGCCAUUUUCGUAAAACGAUCAACAAUCACAAAAACUGAAUCAACUUGGCGUGCAGUCUUGGGUAGGCCUAGGACAAAGUCCAUGUUAAUAUCCUCCCAGGGCACAUUGGGAAUGGGCAGGGGAGUAUACAAGCCAGUAUUUUGAGUUUGUCCUUUAAAUGAUUGACAAGUCUUACACCGCUGAACAAACCUUUCAACGUCCUUCCUCAUGUUAGGCCAAUAAUACCUCUCUUGAACUAAUCCCAAAGUUUUGUCUCUCCCGAAAUGUCCUCCUAGCUCGCUAUGCAAGUUCUGAAUCAAGGACUCUCUUAACGAUCCCUGGGGAAUGCACAACUUGGACUUUCUAAAAAGAUACCGGCCGUCCAAACAGUAAUCAGAAGGUGAAUCACUAUCAGGAGAUAGGCACAUUUUUAGGAUAGGACCGAAGUUAGGGUCAUUUUGAUAUUGGUCCUUAACUAUCUCAAAUCCUACUAUCUGUAAGGAAGAAAUGAUAAGCAAAUAGUUUCUACGACUGAGUGCAUCAGCGACUCGAUUAGCAAUGCCUUGUUUAUGCCGCAAGUGAAAAGUGUAUUCUUGCAGGAAUGCAGACGCAUGUCUUUUGUUCGAGUUUUUUUUGAGAAUUUAAAUAUCGCAAUGCUUCAUGAUCCGAAUUAAGAAUAAACUCUCGAUGAAUCAAGUAGGGUCGCCAAUGUUUCAAAGCCUGCACGAUCGCGUAAAAUUCAAGAUCAUAAGUGGAGUAACGUACUCGUGCAUCGUUCAAUUUUUCACUAAAGAAGGCUAUAGGACGUUUCUUUUGAGACAGUACGCCUCCAAUUCCGAUAUGUGAGGCAUCACAAUCAAUCUCAAACACCUUUUCGAAGUCGGGCAAGGCAAGUACUGGAGCCUUUGUAAGUUUGUCCUUAGCCAAUUGAAAACUUUUUUCAGCUUCAGAUGUCCAAGUAAAUUUACCCCCUUUUAGGCAAUCAGUUAUUGGCGCAAUUAAUGAACUGAAAUUUCGAAUGAAACGCCGAUAAAACGACGCAAGUCCGUGGAAACUUCGGAUUUCAGUUAUAGUCUUUGGGGUUGGCCAAUUCUGAAUUGCUUCUAUCUUAACAGGAUCUACCUUAAUUCCCUCGGUGGACACCACAUAGCCUAAGAAGGUAAGGCUAUCGGUCAGAAAUGUACACUUCUUAAGAUUCAGAUGUAAGCUGUUAUCUCUUAAAGUUUGAAGCACUUGUCUUAAAUGAUCCAUAUGAGUUUCAGGACUCGUGCUAUAAAUCAGAAUGUCGUCGAAGUAAACUACGACAAAUUUUCCAAUGAAUGGUCGCAAGACUUGGUUCAUAGAGCGCAUGAAAGUACUAGGGGCAUUGGAUAGCCCAAACGGCAUAACCAACCACUCGUAUAAUCCUUCUUUAGUUUUAAACGCCGUUUUCCAUUCAUCUCCAGGUCGAAUACGGAUUUGAUGAUAUCCGCUCUUAAGGUCAAUCUUAGAGAAUAUCUUCGCACCUCCUAACAUGUCAAGCAUAUCAUCAAUCUCAGGAAUGGGAAACCUAUACUUGAUGGUAAUUUUGUUAACUGCACGACUGUCAAUACACAUUCGCUACGUUCCAUCCUUUUUUGGUGUAAGGAGGGCAGGCACCGCGACAGGGCUCAUACUUUCUCUAAUGUAACCUUUUUGCAGAAGUUCAAAAACCUGCCUAUAUAACUCUUCAUGCUCAGCGGGACUCAUCCUGUAAUGGGCUAGGUGUGGAAGACUAGCACCGGGUACAAAAUCAAUGCAGUGUUGGAUGUCUCUCAUAGGUGGAAGGCCAUCGGGGAGUUCCUCAGGCAUGAUAUCAGAAAAUUCAUUAAGCAAUGGUUGAACAACUUGAGGAACUUCAGUGUUCUUCGAUAUUUCUUUUGCCAAAAGAAUAUAUACCACUGGAGACUUUGCUAGAUCUUUAGAGAAUUGGCUUUUGUUCAAAACCAUCAUUUUCUGCUCAUUAUUGGAGGGUUGCUUUUGGGACUCAAUUGGCUUAGACUUUGGUUUGGGAAAGUAAUUUAGGGGAACCAAUCUAACUUUCUUUUUGUCCUUUUUGACAAUGUAAGUGUUCUCCCUACCAUCAUGUAUAGUGCUACGAUCAAAUUGCCAAGGUCUACCUAACAAUAGGUGACUCACAUCCAUGGGAACAACAUCACACCAAACUUUAUCAGCAUAAGUUUUCCCAAUAGAAAAUUCAACAAGACAUCUUUUAGUUACAGGAAAUUCAUCCCCAUCCUUAAACCAAGCUAUUUUGUAAGUUUGAGCAAGUUUUUCAGUUUUCAGUUUAAGCUUAUCAACUAUUUCUCAAGUGACAAAGUUUUUAGUACUUCCACUAUCAAUGACCAGAGAGCAAAACUUGCCUCCCGUGCUACAAAUGGUUCUGAAAAGGCUACGACGCUUCCAAUCAUCUUGGGUGGACUUAGAGGCUGAUAGGACUCGAUGGAUCAUGAGAUUUGUUUCAGUAGCAUCAGGAGAUUCUUCGGAAAUCUCAUCAACAUCUUCUUGUUCUAAAGUUUCUUCCCCAUUUUCAUUCUCUUCAUGACUUUCUAUUAGAUUGGCUCUAGAAUCAAAUUUUCUCAAAGGGCAAUCAGAGGAUUUAUGUCCAGGUUUGUUACAUUUAUAACAAAUGAUGCCAGAUUCAGCGGGUUUUGCACCUAAAAUUCCUUUGCCCUUGAGGUCUUGAACAAGUCUUGAAGAGGUAAUUAGUUUGAACUUGUUUCCACCACACUAAGGCAUGUCCUUUCAAUUUAAGGGAGACAAAUUUAACUUUUUUGUCAUCAGGUAAUUCUUUCCAUUCAAAAAAUUGUUCUAUUUUGUCUAGCCAAUCCACAAAAUCUUCAGGUUGUAAUUUACCCUCGAACUCACUCACGUCCACUUUAAUGCCCUGAUCCCAUCUAUGUAUAUUUCCUUGAUUUUGAAGAAGAGGAUUUCUUCUAACAGGUACAGUACGAUUGUCAAAAUCAGGGUCACUUUCCGAAUCUUCUCCAACUGCAGUUUGUUGUUGCAUACUUAAUCUUUCCAAUAGUUGUUGAAUGUUAUUCAUUUGAUUUUGCAUGCGUUUCAUGGAAUCUUGUUGUUUCUCAUAUGCUUCUCUCCAAUCACGAGGAUUUUCACUACUGCCAGCCAUUUCCAAAUGCUAACAAGUUGAUCAAAAAGUGAUGCCCUUUUUUUUUUGAAUAUUUUGGCCCAAAGUUGAAUACUAAGAAAAAGUUGUUUAGAUCAAAACAAACGCUGCCACGAAAAGAACUUUCUCUGAUACCAAUUGAUGCAAACCGAGAAGUUGCCAAAAGUGAAUUUUCACAUUUGCUUUUGUUUAAAGGUAAAACUAGGUUCAAUUUGUCAAUUCCGAUGAACUUUAAGCAAGGAAGCAAAAAUUUCAGCAAAACAAAAAUUAAAAUCGAAUUGAAGUAAUACUAAGAUGAUGAUAAACCUUCAAUAUAUGAGAUAAUAACAACCAACUGAAAAUACAUAUACUAGUUCCAAAAGGUAAAUUCGGCUUUAUCGAACUUAAAGCUUUAGGUUUGGUUGUUUGGCAAAUAUGGUUGGUAAUGGUGGAAGGCUAGAUUAAAAGGGGAUAAUAGGAUGUCAGGAGAUGAGAGAUACAAAAAGUGCACCGUUCACACGAUUGCGGGGGAUCCACGAUCGACGAGGAGGGCGGUACACCACAGGUAGAACUUCGGCAACGGGGAAGAAGAAGAUGAGGUAGUGACUCGGAAGAAGAGGAGGGGUAGAAGUAGAAGCCGAUCUUGUCAUGAGGAAGAAGCGACAACGAUCAAGUUGAAGAAAAAGACGAUCUCGGCGCGAGGAAGAAGCGUCGAUGAUCUCACCGGGAAGUAGAACAACAAGGAUAAAGAUUGAGAGUAGAAUUUUCUAUUCAUCCAAAUAUAUCCCUUAAGGCUUCAAGAACCAUGUAUUUAUAGUGUUGAAAGCCCUCUGAUAAUAAAUUAUUGUCUUUUCAUUUUCAACACAACACGGUCACCCAAGAGUCAUGCAUAGAAAACGAAGCAACUUUGGGAAUUUCAAAGGUCUUUCUUUUAUUUUUUUUUUGGGG